GGCCUAUUGAGUAUAAUUUUAGGUCGAUCUGCUCCAUGAAAUAAAUUUAAAUAGCUGCAGUAUAUUGACUGUACAAAGGUAGCAUAAUAAAUUGUCUUUUAAUUGAAGAAUUGAAUGAAUGAAUUGAUGAAAUAACAACUGUCUCUAUUUUAUUUAAUGAAUUUAAAUUUUUAGUAAAAAUUCUGAAAUUUAAUUAUGGGACGAUAAGACCCUAUAGAAUUUUAUUUAAUAUAACUAUUUAUUUAAAUUAUUUGUGAAUAUAUAAUUAAUUUAAAUUUGAUUGGGAGGAUUGGUAAAUAAAAAUAACUUUAUCUAAAAAUUAAUUUUGAUGAAAAGAUUUUUUUUGACUUAUAAUUUAUGAUUAAAAGAAUAAAUUACCUUAGGGAUAACAGCGUAAUAUCUUUUGAUAGACCACAUUGAUAAAGAUGUUUGCGACCUCGAUGUUGAAUUAAGAGAAAAGUUAAACGCAGGAGUUUAAAAUUUUAAGUCUGUUCGACUUUUAAAAUCUU
rnacentral:rRNA from 1 species